CUGCAGCGCGGGGGGGGGGGGGGGGCGGGCGAUUCUGUGUUUGACAAAUUACAGUCUAGUUUGUAGUUUCCUUUUGUUUGUUUGUUUGUUUAAAAUUAGGUAAAAGCCAAGUUCCUCGAAUAUUUUUUUAUGAUCAUAGAAAAGGAUAAUCAGAUCCCUAUUAACAAACAUCUCCUUAAAGCGACGGCAUCCCCUGAUCGGAACAUCACAUCUCAAUUCACCUUCAACCCCCCACCCCCACUGGGGGUGACCCCUCGGCGGCAUUCCUGCCUCGACUUCAAUGGCUUCAGGGUUCCUCAAGCUCCUCAGAAAAUCGCCAGCCGCAAGAUUCAUCGCCGCUUUGCAAAAUCCACAAGCCCCGAAUCCUACAGCAUCUCUUAUAUUUUCCCAGACCUGUCUCAUCGAACCCACCGAUCCAACUCCGUUUCUGGGUUCACACAAAGCAGAGAACUUGACCCAUUCCGAGUUUUCAAGGAUUUACCCAAGCUUCCCAUUUGCGUUUUACUUAAACCCGUUUUGCUCAACUUUGUCGGUCCCGUCUGAGGCAGAGGACGCGGCGCUUGGUGAUUGCGGGACCGUCUGGGCAGAUAGUGUGAAGAAGAAGAGGAAGAGAAAGAUGAACAAGCACAAGUACCAGAAACUGAGGAAGCGUCUCGGGAGGCAGACUUAGGUGCCAUUUUUAGAUAUAGAAGACUACUUAAUCUAUGGACUGCAUGUUGCAAGGGAAAUGAGUUAAUCUAUGGACUGCAUGAUGUCGAGCACGCUGCCUUCUCCCAGCGCUCGUUUGCUCACGUUUCCCACGAUCUUGGCACCACCGAUCUUUGAUAGAAGGGACAACCCCUCCUCGUUACUGACGGGACCCAGUCAAAUUAGAUCUGCUCAGUGCCGACAAGUACCGCAGCACCAAGUGCGUCUGCCUAAUAUUAUUGGGCGCGCUUCCAUAUUAAACUGGGCCCAGAAAGGUUUUGACCUUUUUUCCCUUGUGUUAUAGGGCACCCCCAUUUGCCGUGCUAAACAUUAAAUAUUUGCAAGAGGGUCCUUUGGCAUAUAGGGCACCAUAGUAGAUUCACACAAUACGUGUAAUUGGGAACAAUGACGGUGCAGGUUUCUGAAAUGUUAGUCUGGUGCUGAUCACCCCAGAUAACUAAUAAAACUUUCUCACGGGUUUCCUUA